UACGUAGGGGGCAAGCGUUAUCCGGAUUUACUGGGUGUAAAGGGAGCGUAGACGGAAUUGCAAGUCUGAUGUGAAAAUCCGGGGCCCAACCCCGGAACUGCAUUGGAAACUGUAUUUCUAGAGUGUCGGAGAGGCAAGUGGAAUUCCUGGUGUAGCGGUGAAAUGCGUAGAUAUCAGGAGGAACACCGGUGGCGAAGGCGGCUUGCUGGACGAUGACUGACGUUGAGGCUCGAAAGCGUGGGGAGCAAACAGG
rnacentral:rRNA from 1 species